rnacentral:rRNA from 1 species
GUCGAGCGAAUGGAUUAAGAGCUUGCUCUUAUGAAGUUAGCGGCGGACGGGUGAGUAACACGUGGGUAACCUGCCCAUAAGACUGGGAUAACUCCGGGAAACCGGGGCUAAUACCGGAUAACAUUUUGAACUGCAUGGUUCGAAAUUGAAAGGCGGCUUCGGCUGUCACUUAUGGAUGGACCCGCGUCGCAUUAGCUAGUUGGUGAGGUAACGGCUCACCAAGGCAACGAUGCGUAGCCGACCUGAGAGGGUGAUCGGCCACACUGGGACUGAGACACGGCCCAGACUCCUACGGGAGGCAGCAGUAGGGAAUCUUCCGCAAUGGACGAAAGUCUGACGGAGCAACGCCGCGUGAGUGAUGAAGGCUUUCGGGUCGUAAAACUCUGUUGUUAGGGAAGAACAAGUGCUAGUUGAAUAAGCUGGCACCUUGACGGUACCUAACCAGAAAGCCACGGCUAACUACGUGCCAGCAGCCGCGGUAAUACGUAGGUGGCAAGCGUUAUCCGGAAUUAUUGGGCGUAAAGCGCGCGCAGGUGGUUUCUUAAGUCUGAUGUGAAAGCCCACGGCUCAACCGUGGAGGGUCAUUGGAAACUGGGAGACUUGAGUGC